GUGGUUGUUAAAGAAAUUUCUUGAAUGAUUCAUAUAGUCUGCCAUGUGAGAGGUGAUUCCCGUGGGGUAGCUAGCCAGCAUAGAAUAAUUCUAUUAGCAUGUUGUAAAAAUAGAUCAGGUGGUAAUUAGAUUUUCAACCUAAUGAUAUUUUCUUCUUUCAUUUUAAAUAUCUGAACAAAUAGUUUUCAUAUAAAACCCAUUAUUUAACAUUUUAAACUUUACUGAUUGCUAUUUUGACAAAUUGGUUUGAUAUAUAAAUUUCAUUUUUGCCUCUUUCUUCACUGUGUAUUGAUGGAGAUCAUGAAGUUUCUAACUCAUAUUUAUCUCCUGAUUUUUUCUUGCAAUAAUUCAGUGUCAAAUAUCAGAAGUUCUCCAUACAUGGUGGAAGCACAACAUGAAUCAGAUGCUAGACAACUGCAGUAUUAUAAGGAUAGGCAAAAAAUACCGACUUUUCAUUGUUUUAAUUAUCACAUAGUAGAUUUUACUGCUCCUUGUAUAAUAUAAUGUAUCAUUGUUAGAAUACCAUAUUAUUUUAUUUUGAGUUAAAGUUGUAGAUUUGCCUUUCUAAAAUACUACAAUAUACCUGCACCAUCUGAAGCUCAUGAAGGGCUCGUGGGUGUGUUCCGCUCUUUUCCCCCUUUUUCUUUAUUCCAAACCAUCUGCUUACUCUCUUCAGCCUAAGGCAAAUAAUUGUUUUUAUUUGGUAUCCAGAUGUCACUGGCAUGAUUACUAUAAUUUCUUAUAUUUGAGUUUUCACAAUCACUGGAAGGGUUAAACAUUUAGUGAGAAGAGAUGUAGUGUUCUCUGGUCCUCAUUAUUUUUUUACAUGAUUGCUAAAUGUGUUGUAGCAUUAUUUGUCGAGCUUUUUUCUUAGUGAUUUAUGUUUCUAAUUUGUCGGACUUGGCAGGUUGUUAGUCGUUUGCAAUGCUUCUGGUGGUCAUGCUAGCACCUAUUUGCUUUGUGUCUGUGUACAACCUCGAUUGUUAGAAAUUAGUUUCUUAAUUUCAAAUAGAUUCUGCAAGCUCACAUUAUGUUUUAAUAAUGAUAUACUGUCUCAUGAUAUUGACCAUUCUAGCUUUGGUAAUAACUCAUGUUGUAAUGGGUCCAUAAUAUUUUUCAAUUAUCUACUUCUCGGAACAUAUAUUAUGAAUUGACUAAAUGGGGCGAUAAUUGUUUAGUUAAGUUCUGUGUCUAUCAAAUGCAGUUAUGAUGUAUUUGCUUUAGUAGGCUUUUGGGCACUUAAAUACUGUUAGGUGAAUGUGAGGCAUUUGCUUAUUUGGUUUGCAUAUUAUAGUCUUAUCUCUGAAACACAAAAUACAUUUCUUAUUUGGUUUGCGGAUUAUAUGCUUAGCUCUCAAGCACGAAAUGAUCUUGCCAUAUAAAUUCUCUAUCUUUAUUUCCUAAAUGUAUAUAUGAUGAUAUGUUAUGUUAAAUCUUGUGCCAUGUCAAUGUUGUUCUUACAAGACCUACCGAUAGUCAGAUCUUGUCAUUGCCAAGGUUGCAGUAGGUGGAGCAGAAGUGGAUGGGGUCUUGCUGUUCAUCAUAGUGUCAAAUAUCAGAAGUUCUCCAUACAUGGUGGAAGCACAACUUGAAUCAGAUGUUAGACAACUACAGUAUUAUAAGGGUUGCACGCUUUCACCGAGUUCAACGGCGCGCGGGGUGCUGGGAUCCAGCGGAGGUCGCGCUGGCUGAAGGCAGCCCGACGCUAGCCAUGAUACCCCCGAUGCUAUGAGGUGACACAACCUACUAUGAUGUUGUUGCAAACUGAGCUGCAUCUGGGGUACUUGCUGCUGAACUUUGGGAGGAGAGGGUUGUCACCAUCGUAUGGAGGAGCGCCAACCGCUACUCCGUCGGAAGGAGCUGCGACACCACAGUCAGGCGUUUGUCCUCGCCUCGGCAAGGCUGUGGUGCCCCUGGUUACAAGAUCAAGUGAAAGCUUGUGAAAGAUCACAUGAUACUACCCUCAUCAUGGGUCUCAAUAGAUUGUCCAAUUAUUGUCCAGUAUUUUCUCAAUGAAAAUAGAAGUGCCACAUUCCUAACUGACACCACU